CAUCAGCGUCCGGCUGUUAUUUCGCUGUUAUUUCGGGGCGUAAAACUGUCGUCGGCAAGCUUUGUGAUCUCGUUGUGUCGAUGAUGACAUUUGAUCAGCACUUACGAAGAGGUCAGCUAUCGCCAGAUGCAUCACCAGAGUGUUUAUCCGAGAUUUGGAUUUUCGUUUUCGUAUUACGGUCAUUGUCAGCACGGCGAUAUUUCCAGUCGCCGAUAUCACCAUCAGGAUGCUAGUCGGUGCGCGCCGCUGCUGCUGCUGCUGUUGUUGUUGUCGCCGCCGUCGCCGUCGCCAUCGCCGUCGUCGCCGUCGCCGUGUCGCUGGCCGCUCUUCUUCUCUCUCUCUCUUCUGUGCCUCGAGUGACACACGAUGCCGGAGUGUGAGCAGCGCGAUGAUACGUGACACCAGAAGCUGUCGGGAUCAACAUGCGUGGACCACGCUCGGCUGACUUACUCGACGGACAUACUCGGACGUUUAUCUGUGGACAUUGGCGGAUUGGAGCUCUCUCGAGACGCUCCUCGUGACCGCAGCGCGUGCGGCGGAGACAGGCGGUCAUGGACUCUUUCUCUCUUUUUCUUUUUACUCUUGGAAUUUCCCGAUGGAAAAUCGCUCACUUGUACAUAUUAUAGCUGCAUUGUGUGUGUGUGUGUGUGUGUGUGUGUGUGUGUACAGAAACGAAGCUUUUUAGCUAGUCAUUUAGUCGGAUUUUUGAAGAAACGUACGUCGUUACAAGACGCGCAUAUAGCGCAACAAUUUCACUUUUUGGAGCAAUCUUUAUCUGAAAUUAACUCCCUGUCGCCUUAUCACAUAAAUAUAUGUUUACGUGCCACAUAACACCGUGGAGCGGCGGGUCACAGGCUCAAGUGGAUGGAAUUGAACGGGGUGAAUGACAGAGAGAGAGUCGAGAGCGAGAGACGAUAAUUAAUCGUAAUCUUUGGCGAGAUACGGGGCACGCGGAUGUUAUUAGAAAUGAGCAAUAACACGCGGAGGCACAUUCUUCCAAAAAUAAACGGGCAUUACGAAAUAAUAUGCGUGCAUGUGUUUUCUUUUCUUACAAUAUUAUUACACUGAGCUAACAUACGUAUGGAAAAAGUCCCCCUUUUUAAAUGCACUAUAAAUUUUCACCCCGAGAUUAUUAUUAUCUCAAGUCUCCGUGUAUAUGCACACUUUGCUUAUUCCGGCGCUAAUCGUCGCUUGACUCGUAUAUUUCGUAUCGCAACAUAUUUUGCGUCAAGCCGUUGAAAACACGCUCCUUUUAUCGAUAAUAAUAAAAUGUCAUUGUUUUCAUCCGCCAAAUCCUAAGUAGCGCGACACACAAUCGUAGUGUGCGAAGUAUCAUCGUUUAUCGAGCUUUAGUGCGAAGCGAGAUACAUUGCGUAUACAUUAUCGCGAUACAUAAUUUACAACGGUACAGUCCGGUCGUAGAUGUUGCCCCCACAUAACGACGCCGUAAUCAGCAUUAUCGACGACUCUUGCGCGUGUAUCGUUGAUUCCCAAUUUUUCGCGGCAGACGUUAAAAAUUUUAAACGUUAUAACUCGCAUAACUCGCGGGCUUUUUUGUAGACACAAGAGAUUGCGGUGUAAGUUCCAGGAUUCACAUGUAUGCUGAGUAGACGACGAUAAUUAAUUAAAUCGUUGCUAAAUAAAAUG
rnacentral:lncRNA from 1 species